GUCCACGCCGUAAACGUUGUGCACUAGGUGUGGGAGGAUAUCGACCCCUUCCGUGCCGCAGCUAACGCAUUAAGUGCACCGCCUGGGGAGUACGCCCGCAAGGGUGAAACUCAAAGGAAUUGACGGGGGCCCGCACAAGCGGUGGAGCAUGUGGUUUAAUUCGAUGCAACGCGAAGAACCUUACCCAGGCUUGACAUCGCGCGAAUCCCUUGGAAACGAGGGAGUGCCCUUCGGGGAGCGCGUAGACAGGUGUUGCAUGGCUGUCGU
rnacentral:rRNA from 1 species